UGGAGGUCGGCCUAAUGGUCUAAAACCUUCUGGGGGCGACCACGCUCUCCCGCGUCAUCUGUGGUGAAGGAAGGGAGGGAUGCGGCGAGGCCCUGCCCAAACUCCACCAUCCUAGAUUGAGAAUGGGAGCCACGCCCCUAAGACCUCCUCCGCGCACGCGGCGAAGGGGGGGGAUCAAGUGCCCGCGAGUCGCAGACACGUGUGCGUGUGCGCAGUGUUCGCGGGCGUCUAAAUUAGAGUCGGCUCCGGCACCCGAUCUGUAUUUACCCAGCGUGCAGCGGGAAUGUGUCUACAAUGCUGUUGUGAACCAAGUCUCUCGGGAGAGCAUCUGCGCGUUCCUCGCCUUGGGCGCCGCAGCCUUUGCUGAAUAACUAGCAUCGAGCAGCCGCCUAUGACUGAGUCUGCCCGGCCAGGCACUUGCGCACGUAGACAGUCCCCACAGCCAGAAGGAUCCCCACUAGGGCUGCGAUGGAGGCAGAAGCCAACGC